AAAAGUAGGUGAAGGGAGUGAGUAAUCCAGGGGUGUGUCAAUACAAACUGCUCUUUGAGGACAUGGAGGAGUAGACGUCUGUGGUCUGUAAGAUAAGAAGAAGAAAUGAAGUAAAUAAAACAGCUAUUUGUGCAAAUAUAGUUGGUGGAAGUGCAAGCGAGAAGGGGCAUGGAGAAGUCCUCCAGAUGAGGGACAGUUUCCUUGGUGGACAGAGUAGUAUUGUUGUCUGAUAUGUAGUUUCAUUUUCCUUGUAACAGGAAUAAUUCAGGGAGGUGCAAGGUGCAGCAGGCACUGUUUCACUUUCCAAAGUUGGGACACUGAUCAGGAACGGUUAGAAGAUGCAGUGUGGUACUUUCCCCAAUACAAAGAGGGAUGGAAGGUCAAUACUGAUGUCAUGCAGAAUAGUGUGAUGCAACAAUCGUGGGGUGAAUGCUGAAUUCACCUGCUCAGGAAGCAGGAACAGCGUAAGCAGUGACAGACUUUGAUGAGACCUAGCUCUAUGCCUUGCGUGUUUGCUGUGCUCCCUCAUGGAACUGGCGUGGGCAUUUCUGCAUGAAGAUACACUGUAUAGACGUGGUGUGUGCUCAAAGCUCAGAGGAAGCUAUAUCCAGAAUUCUUUGGACAGGAAACACUGGACUCAGCUGACUUUCCAGAGCAGUGCCAGCUAUGGUGGGAUGGAUCCAUUUGAAGCUGCAACCUCUGCAUAUCUCAGCCAUGAGAUCACUCUUCUGAAGAUCAAGGGGCAAUGCACAGGGGCAGUAACAUUCAAAACCCCGGAUAGAAUGACUUCACACAUCCAAAGCACUUUAGCUCCCAAACUGAAAUGCAUGGAAGACUUUGCACUGAUGGGCCACAUUUCCAGCGCAGCCCUUGAUGAACUAAGUCUAGCUUUAAGUGUGAUUUAUAUUAAGUUCCUGACUACCUAAUUCAAAAUUCAACUUUCAGUGCCUUGACAAAGAAGAUAAUAUCCUCCUAUUGGAUUAAGAAGAAUAAACUUUCCUGUCAGGAAAGUAUGUGAGGAAAG
rnacentral:lncRNA from 1 species